ACCUGGGAAGAAAACACAACAGUUCGCGUCAAUGUAGGUGGCAGGUUAGCAGUUCAGGUGACCUACCUUUCUUUGUAAGUGGGAGGAGCCUGUGAAUCUCCAGCUGUGACAGGUAAGAAAUUUUCCCAGGAUUGAGUAGCAUUUUAUAACGUGAAACUCAAAAUUGCUGCCAAUUAUAAAACUAGUAUCCACACUUUUAAUUAUUUUCCCAUCCUAAUGUGUACCACAAAUUAUUCAACAUAUACAACAAAGAUGUGCUUCUCUGGGUUACAAAAUGCAGUUUGUUUCUAGAAAAUGUCAAGAUCAAUGCCAAUAUCUGGUGAGUACGGCAUAGCCGAGACUGUAGAAACACUUUCUAGUGCGCUGGAAUGUGUGCUGCACUAAAAGUGUAAGAAAAGCUUUCAGCUGGAACAAUGCACGCCUUCAAGGGUUAUAAAAUCACCCUCUGGAAAAGUUCCCUCAGUCUUUUUGUUUUUGUAAACCAUUUUACGAUCCUGCUGUAAAGUUACUGCCCCUUAAAAAGCAUCACACGGCAGUAACUUUACAGCAGAAUUUAAACAAGUUAGAUGACCUCAGAUCCACCUCUGACCUGAUUACAUACAGUUUUUCAUGCAAUGCUAAAAUAUAUGUUCUACAUAAAUGGCAGAUAUCUGAGAGAGUUGUCUGAUAAAGAGAGAUUACGUUUCUGUACAAAUCUGGGCAUAUAAUACAUUUCCGCAGACUGGAAGGAGGUCAAGGGGCAGGUGUACAUGGUCCACAGGCUGGGUGUAAAGCGACGGGUCAGUGUGUCGGUCAGUCUUAAGCGCAGGUUGCAGCUCGAGCACACAAUGUGGUUUGGACAGCAGGACUGCAAAGGAGUGUGCUUGGGGUUAUUUGGGGAGGAAUGAUUUUUGGAGGUUGACGGCAGGGCCAAAGCAGAUCUUUUGGUGGCACUUCGCUCUCCUAGGCGGUCCAGGGAUCUUCUCAACUCUUGCUGUGCACCUUGUACCCCAGCUAGCUCCCGCUGAUACUGAACAUCCAGCGCAUGUAGGGUCCGCUCAAGCUGCAGGCUCUGACGCCUCUGAGCAUUAGCCAGCGAACGCUCUAAGAAUUACAUAAAAUAUCAACCAAAAGAUCUGAAUAAACUAGCCCUUAUUGGAAAUUGAAAAGAAUACAGUAAGUUAGUGUACACAUUUUUUUACAGAUACCCCGUUCAUUAUGUCUUUUCCUUCUUGACAGAGAGAUGAAAUUAGACAUGCCACACUCAUCUGGAAGACAUGAAGAUAUGCAGGAUGCAGUGACAAAUGCUGAACAGUUGAGAGAUCAUAUGUUUUUACCUUUUAUAUAAAGUGAAUAUUGUAACAUUAAAUUCACAUCUUUCAGCAGGGGUGGUAUAUAGACAAUACCACAUUUAAUUAUUUAAAAUUGUACAUAUGCAAAUCACAUACAUCAGACACUAAUUCUGGAAAUUUUGUAAAGUUGUUAAGAAAAUAAUACAUUAAUGCAUUUACUCACCCAUGGAUGGACAAGCAUUUACUGUCUAGAAGCAUCUUAAUGUAAAAACCCACCAAGCUCAUUUCUGUGAAUACACAAACUUUUCCUCUCCUCUUCAGCCUAAAGAUAGGGGGAAAAUGCUUCUGAAAGUGAGAGUCUGUUAGGUAACCUAACUUUUAUAAAGCGACACAGUCUCUUAAAACAAUAGAUUUGAAGGGGCCAAGUAAGAAAAGAGUGGGCAGAGCUAGUGAGAGAAAGGCAACUCCUCUUCAGCUUUACAAAAGAAUGCAGAAUAUAAAUCGGAAAAUCUAUAUUGCAAAAAAAUAAAAUAAUAAUAAUAAUAAAUAUAUAUAUAUAAUAUAAAAUCAUAAAUAUAGCAUCAAAAUCAGUGGUAAAUGUGACAGCCUUUAAAAUCAAACACACUGAAUAAAACAAAAAAAAAAAAAACAUUAGCCAGUUUUCAUGCACUUCUUUAAUAUAUCAGUUUUUCAUAUUCACAACAAAUACAUUAAGCUCUUUUCCUUUUAUAUAAUACAGUCUUAAAUAUUUUUACACAGAAAUAUUUUCUCAGAAUUUCAUCUAUCAAAAUGUCUUUUCUUAACCUUUAAGUUGAAACAUUUGAAGUCAUUUCAUUGUUUUUAUCUCCAUGCCUCCUAGCAAACGGACAGUACUUCCUUUGUACAGCUAUUUACAGAUGAAAAGAGUCUCCCAAACAUUUGUAUGAUAGUUCUCACUUGAAUUAACUUGCACUGGGGGGGGAGGGUUAAAGUGCAGGCAAGGCAACAGAAAGGAAUGUGAUACGGACGUUUUUGUUGAAGGCUUUAAAGCAAAUAAAAUGGGGGAUUUGGGGAGUGAAAGAAAAAAGGCUAUAGAGAAUCUAUAUAUAUGUGUGUUUAUCUCCGAGUUGUAAUUAAGCAGGUCACCAAGUAUUCCAGUCAAGAAGGAUCAAUCCUUCACAAGUCAGACCUCUUCAGUAACAUUCCCAUAGAAAAUAAAUACAGCAUUCUUAAAAUACACCUCUACACCGUCUCCAGACGCAACCCACGUUAGGUUUGCCAGCUUAAUCUGGUAACAAGUUCAUUCAGACGUCUCGUCAAAAACUAUACAUGUGAAAACAGUGACCACCGUCACGAGCCCAAAGGAUCCGUGGAGCUCCUCUCUCCUUAAUGGCAAGUUUAAGUGGCGGAACCAAUUCACAGAGCAUCGUCCUUAUAAAAAUAAUCGAAAAAGAGAACCAAAAUAAAUAAUUCAAUCCAUCUCAACAGAAGCAAGAAGAUGGGGCACGUGUCCUCACUUUUGUAACAGAGCACGAGUGGCGAACCAAGCGGAGAGCCUCGGUUAUCUGUGCAACAUCAAGCAUUUUGUGGAGCCGAAAGCAAAAAUGCGUCAUUUCCUACGAGAACAAAAAAAAGGAGCCGGAGCCACUUAUUUCACUACGAAGAGGCCGAAAUAACAAAAAGCAUCCCUACGAGGGCACUUCCACUGUCCACAGUGUCUAGGUGAACUUCAGGGCUACACAGUGCUAGUGUCACUACAGCCCAAAGCUAUGCUAGAGGGUUGACGCAGAAGUCUUUGGACCAACUUGAAACGAAGAGUCGCCGCUUUAUCACCUGUUCGAGUCACAGGGCGAAUCGAUUUGGUCGAAGAUCCAGAUAACCGUUCUCCGGCAAAUGGCGAAGGUGGACACAGAUGGCGUUAGGAGGUUGAAUUAAGCUUUGGUUUUUAGUGUCCCAUGGCCCUGCCUGCUUUUGAAAUCGAUUUUCAUUCAUUUUGCAAUCCGGUAACCAUGCUUUAACCUCUUCAUAUGACAAAAUAUAUUAAGUCUUUAAAAAGGCAAAAUUGCUUAUCUGCAUCAGUCAUUUAUACAAAGUGCACAGACACACUGCGUAAUGUCCAUUUCAGCAAAUCACAGAAUGAGUGAGAGAAAAUAUAUAUGUAUAUAUACACACACACACACAUACACACACACCUCUCUGAGAGUUCGAAACACUGAACAAAAAGUAAAACAAUUAAAGCAAUAUAAAUUAAUGUAACUUUGCAGGCCUGCCUGUCUAUAACACAAGAAAAACUAUAUGAAACUUAAAAAAAAAAAAAAAAAUGCUAUGACCCGUGAACAAACAUAUCGGAAUGAAUCCAGCGGUGCAAGGUCCAAAGAGUUUUCACAUGACUCGGAUGGAUCGAAUCUCAAAAAACAAAAAAACAAAACAUAAAAAUAAAAAUCUGUUAACCGUUAUGGCCUAAAAGGAAUGGCUUCUAAUAACAACAGUUAAGCUUAAAGUUGUAGUGAAAAGUACAGAAAUACAUCUGAAAUACGCCCACAUUGUUACUCCAUAGCAAGGCUUCGUGUUUGCUUUAUACAGUGGGUUUUUCUACAAGAAACUUUAAAUAAUAUAGCCUUUGACUUAUUCAGAAACAUAAUGCCAGCUACUAUAAGGAGGUGAAACUAAACAAAACUAAAUCACAUUCUCUAGAAGCGCGGAAACCGCUUUGAUUGUGCCGAUCCAAGAGAGGCUAAAAACAUUUCACCAGGCUUCUUUGCGUGGGACACGUGAAAUGCAAAAUAAAUAAAAAUACUAGAGUUUGCUUUGACAAAUAACUAAAAGCAAAAGAACCUACAGAAUAUUCUAGAAUAUAUAUGUAUAUAUAAAAAAAGAGGUCUUUUGAUGGUUGCUUCAUUUACCACUUUUCACAAACUAUAUCUGUAACUGAAAAAAGGGUCUGUUUAU